rnacentral:rRNA from 1 species
AGCGGAGGAAAAGAAACUAACAAGGAUUCCCCUAGUAGCGGCGAGCGAAGCGGGAAGAGCUCAAAUUUGUAAUCUGGCAGCAAUGCCCGAGUUGUAAUCUAUAGAGUCGUUUUCGGUGCCGGACCGCGUCCAAGUCCCUUGGAACAGGGUAUCAAAGAGGGUGAGAAUCCCGUGCUUGACGCGACGACCGGGGCUGUGUGAUACGUCUUCUACGAGUCGAGUUGUUUGGGAAUGCAGCUCUAAACGGGUGGUAAAUUCCAUCUAAAGCUAAAUAUUGGCGAGAGACCGAUAGCGAACAAGUACCGUGAGGGAAAGAUGAAAAGCACUUUGGAAAGAGAGUUAAACAGUACGUGAAAUUGUUGAAAGGGAAACGAUUGAAGUCAGUCGUGUUCAUUGGUUUCAGCGGGUUCUGCCCGUGUAUUACCUUUGAACGGGUCAACAUCGGUUAGAUUGGGUGCAGAAAGGCGUUGGGAAGGUAGCACCCUCGGGUGUGUUAUAGCCCGGCGUCAUAUACACUCGACCUGACCGAGGCUUGCGGUGUGCCUCGCAAGAGGCGGUCUCUUUGGACCCCCACACCUGGGAUGUUGGCAAAAUGGCUUUAAACGACCCGUCUUGAAACACGGACCAAGGAGUCUAACAUGUGUGCGAGUGUUUGGGUGUCAAACCCCUACGCGUAAUGAAAGUGAACGCAGGAACGAACCC